rnacentral:rRNA from 1 species
UACGGGGGGGGCAAGCGUUGUUCGGAAUCACUGGGCGUAAAGCGCACGUAGGCGGCUUUUUAAGUCAGAGGUGAAAUCCUGGAGCUCAACUCCAGAACUGCCUUUGAUACUGAGAGGCUUGAGUCCGGGAGAGGUGAGUGGAACUGCGAGUGUAGAGGUGAAAUUCGUAGAUAUUCGCAAGAACACCAGUGGCGAAGGCGGCUCACUGGCCCGAUACUGACGCUGAGGCACGAAAGCGUGGGGAGCAAACAGG